GAUUGUGCGUUUCUCGAAUGGAAUUAUCAUCUUUGCCCUCAGCACUUUACAUGAUGUCAACAUGAUGGGGAGUGCGGGAGAUUCUUCUUACCCUUUUUACAGGACUAUUUGAUUUUGUCUUCGUACGGUUCUUACGCGCAAUGUGAUCUUUUGACGGUUUCUUUUCAAUAUAGGAAGGUUCGAGAUCGAAUCUGCGUUGAUUAUAAUAAAUUUUGACUGGUUUUAUUACUUUUUGGGUAUUAACCAUGGGUGGCAGCUCCCGUGUCAUUUUCAACAGCGAUGAAACAUAAUUUUUAUUAUAUUUGGCUUCCAGACAUGAUUGUGGCCUUUUCUUUAUUGCAUGACCUUCAAUCUUAAAUGAAUUUCUUCUGUGCUUUUCUGACUGGGAGUCGACGAUAUUCUAGGUAGCGGAGCACCACGUGGAAAUGACAGACGACAAUUACCUUCCGGUUUGAUUUGUUCAGUAGGAUUUUCAGAAACUACAACAGCAGCAGAUUUCUGAUCUUUAAGUUUUCCCCAAUCGGUUAUUAGACGAGUUUCCAGUGUUAGCUAUAGUCUCGUUACAAGAAAUCUCAUGAUUGGUUGAGUUUUCAACAAGGCAAUGAUUGUCAGACAUCUUGUGGUCAGGAUUUUUUUAAUUGUGUUGAAUUGUCAAUUUCAUGCGUCUCGAGACUCAGACUUUCUGGCU
rnacentral:lncRNA from 1 species